rnacentral:lncRNA from 1 species
GCAGUGUCCCUGCUCCUUACUUUGUAGGGCUGCAGAAACAAUGGAAUAAGAUGGCACCCAGGGAAAAGAAAGAACAAAGACAAACUCAUCAAUGGAUCAACAUAUGUCACCAAAGACACAAGAACAGGCAGGAAUUCAAGCAUUAGUGACAUUCAUACAAAGGAUGCAGAGGCCUUGCCUUGGUAAAGGUGUAACGAAGACUGCACGAGUCUGAACCUGAAAUAAAUGACACUAUGAACCUGGAGCUGUGCUUGUCACAUGAAAGGCACUAUCAAUAUUUGAGGACAAAUAAAAAGGAAGG